rnacentral:rRNA from 1 species
AACGAACGCUGGCGGCACACUUAACACAUGCAAGUCGAACGAAUUGAGAGGUGCUUGCACCUUGAUAUUAGUGGCAAACGGGUGAGUAACGCGUAGGAAUUUACCUUUUGGUGGGGGAUAGCUUCGGGAAACUGAAGGUAAUACCGCAUAAUAUCUGCUCUGCAGAAGAAAGAUUUAUUGCCAAAAGAUAAGCCUGCGUCAGAUUAGGUAGUUGGUAGGGUAAUGGCUUACCAAGCCGAAGAUCUGUAGCUGGUCUGAGAGGAUGAUCAGCCACACUGGGACUGAGAUACGGCCCAGACUCCUACGGGAGGCAGCAGUGAGGAAUAUUGGACAAUGGGAGAAAUCCUGAUCCAGUGAUGUCGCGUGAGUGAAGAAGGCUUUCGAGUCGUAAAACUCUUUCAUUUGUGAAGAUUAUGACGGUAACAAAAUAAGAAACUCCGGCUAACUUCGUGCCAGCCGCCGCCGUAACAC